GACAACGUGGCGUAAUGGUUUGAGUGUUAGACUACAACUCUGAAGACUAGGGUUCAAUUCCUAGCUCAGCCA